UGAGUACGAGACGCUAAGGCGUCGAAGUAGUGGAUGUCAUACUUCCAAGAAAAGCUUGCACUGUCAUAAAUAAAAACGCCUGUACCAUAACCGACACAGGUGGGUAGGUAGAGUAUACUAAGGGGCGCGAGAUAACUCUCUCUAAGGAACUCGGCAAAAUAACUCCGUAACUUCGGGAGAAGGAGUGCCUUAUUCGUAAGGCUGCAAUAACAAGGUCCAAGCAACUGUUUAUCAAAAACACAGGUCUCCGCUAAGUCGUAAGACGAUGUAUGGGGGCUGACGCCUGCCCAGUGCCAGAAGGUUAAAGAAGUCGGUUAGCAUUAGCGAAGCUGGUAACUGAAGCCCUGGUGAACGGCGGCCGUAACUAUAACGGUCCAAGGUAGCGAAAUUCCUUGUCGGGUAAGUUCCGACCCGCACGAAAGGCGUAAUGAUUUGGAUACUGUCUCGGAGAGGGGCUCGGUGAAAUAGACUUGUCUGUGAAGAUGCGGACUACCUGCACCAGGACAGAAAGACCCUAUGAAGCUUUACUGUAACUUGAAAUUGAAAUUGGACUUUAUUCGCGCAGUAUAGGUGGGAGGUGUUGAUUAUAAUCUUGCGGGAUUAUUGGAGCCAUCAGUGAGAUACCACUCUUGUAAUGUUAGAUUUCUAACUUUGAAUCAUUAUCUGGUCAAAGAACAGUUUCAGGCGGGCAGUUUGACUGGGGCGGUCGCCUCCUAAAUGGUAACGGAGGCGUACAAAGGUUUCCUCUGAACGGGUAGAAAUCGUAUCUAGAGUGUAAAGGCAUAAGGAAGCUUGACUGUGAGACCUACAAGUCGAGCAGGGACGAAAGUCGGUCUUAGUGAUCUGACGGUACUGAGUGGAAAGGCCGUCACUCAACGGAUAAAAGUUACUCUAAGGAUAACAGGCUGAUCUCCCCCAAGAGUUCACAUCGACGGGGAGGUUUGGCACCUCGAUGUCGGCUCAUCGCAUCCUGGGGCGGUAGUACGUCCCAAGGGUUGGGCUGUUCGCCCAUGAAAGCGGUACGCGAGCUGGGUUCAGAACGUCGUGAGACAGUUCGGUCCAUAUCCGGUGUAGGCGUUAGAAUAUUGAGAGGAGCCUUCUUUAGUACGAGAGGACCGAGAAGGACAUACCUCUGGUUUACCAGUUAUCGUGCCAACGGUAAACGCUGGGUAGCUAUGUAUGGAGUGGAUAACCGCUGAAAGCAUCUAAGUGGGAAGCCCACCUCAAGAUAAGUAUUCUCAUC
rnacentral:rRNA from 1 species